GGUGCGCUUUUGGCCUACGGGUGGCGUGGAAAACAAAGGCUGCGAAACUACACACCUCGGAAGAAAGAACUCCUAAGAUCUUCCUAGGAAUAAAUUCUCCUCAGAAAUAGGCCCAUCGCCGCGUUACCUAACCAGUGGGCUUUUUUUUAAAAGUGAAAAUAAUAAUCUUCAGAAGGAAGAGAGCAUAUGAAAGGAGAAAAAAAUAUAUUUAUAACUGGGACUUUGUUGAGACCGGUGCUAAUUAUUACCAUAAGGGCCAACCUCAACCUGCUCGCUGUCCUGGGGUCCCAGGGCAAGAAGUACAUCAAUGGGGUCAGUGCUUUCAGGCUUCUGAGUUUGGCUAGGGGGAGGAAGCACAGACAGGAAAUGCAGGAUGAGAAGCGAAUGAGGACUUUUGGCUAGAUUCCAGAAGACUUUCUCCAAGAUCAACAAGAUAAAAUCCAUCCUCUUUGCCUGGAGUACCAACAAUCAUCUCUUGCUGAUGCUUUCUGUCUGCCAAACAUAACCUGAAACCAGGAGAGAUCUCAGCUCUAAAUAUGAAGUUCUCCCUGGACUGAAAGUAGAAAAAAGUAAAGAUGGUUUGUUUUUUAACAGAUGAUUUUGAGGAGAUGGCACCUAAACAAUUGAAUGAAGGAAGAGGGCUGUGUCCACUCUUGGGAUAAAGCAGUGAAGACAGAAGGCAAACAGGAAGUCAAGAUGACCAGUGCUAAUAGGAAAUUGAACUGUGUGAGGUGGGGUCCCUCAGCCUGGCCUGUGGGGAUCAGCUGAAACCAGAUCU